rnacentral:rRNA from 1 species
AGAGUUUGAUCCUGGCUCAGGAUGAACGCUAGCUACAGGCUUAACACAUGCAAGUCGAGGGGCAGCAUUUUAGUUUGCUUGCAAACUAAAGAUGGCGACCGGCGCACGGGUGAGUAACACGUAUCCAACCUGCCGAUAACUCGGGGAUAGCCUUUCGAAAGAAAGAUUAAUAUCCGAUGGUAUAUUAAAACCGCAUGGUUUUACUAUUAAAGAAUUUCGGUUAUCGAUGGGGAUGCGUUCCAUUAGUUUGUUGGCGGGGUAACGGCCCACCAAGACUACGAUGGAUAGGGGUUCUGAGAGGAAGGUCCCCCACAUUGGAACUGAGACACGGUCCAAACUCCUACGGGAGGCAGCAGUGAGGAAUAUUGGUCAAUGGGCGAGAGCCUGAACCAGCCAAGUAGCGUGAAGGAUGACUGCCCUAUGGGUUGUAAACUUCUUUUAUAUGGGAAUAAAGUUUUCCACGUGUGGAAUUUUGUAUGUACCAUAUGAAUAAGGAUCGGCUAACUCCGUGCCAGCAGCCGCGGUAAUACGGAGGAUCCGAGCGUUAUCCGGAUUUAUUGGGUUUAAAGGGAGCGUAGGUGGAUUGUUAAGUCAGUUGUGAAAGUUUGCGGCUCAACCGUAAAAUUGCAGUUGAAACUGGCAGUCUUGAGUACAGUAGAGGUGGGCGGAAUUCGUGGUGUAGCGGUGAAAUGCUUAGAUAUCACGAAGAACUCCGAUUGCGAAGGCAGCUCACUGGACUGCAACUGACACUGAUGCUCGAAAGUGUGGGUAUCAAACAGGAUUAGAUACCCUGGUAGUCCACACAGUAAACGAUGAAUACUCGCUGUUUGCGAUAUACAGUAAGCGGCCAAGCGAAAGCAUUAAGUAUUCCACCUGGGGAGUACGCCGGCAACGGUGAAACUCAAAGGAAUUGACGGGGGCCC